UACGAAGGGUGCAAGCGUUAAUCGGAAUUACUGGGCGUAAAGCGCGCGUAGGUGGUUCAGCAAGUUGGAUGUGAAAGCCCUGGGCUCAACCUGGGAACUGCAUCCAAAACUGGGCGACUAGAGUACAGUAGAGGGUGGUGGAAUUUCCUGUGUAGCGGUGAAAUGCGUAGAUAUAGGAAGGAACACCAGUGGCGAAGGCGACUACCUGGACUGAUACUGACACUGAGGUGCGAAAGCGUGGGGAGCAAACAGGAUUAGAUACCCGGGUAGU
rnacentral:rRNA from 1 species